rnacentral:rRNA from 1 species
GAUGAACGCUGGCGGCGUGCCUAAUACAUGCAAGUCGAGCGAACGGACGAGAAGCUUGCUUCUCUGAUGUUAGCGGCGGACGGGUGAGUAACACGUGGAUAACCUACCUAUAAGACUGGGAUAACUUCGGGAAACCGGAGCUAAUACCGGAUAAUAUUUUGAACCGCAUGGUUCAAAAGUGAAAGACGGUCUUGCUGUAACUUAUAGAUGGAUCCGCGCUGCAUUAGCUAGUUGGUAAGGUAACGGCUUACCAAGGCAACGAUGCAUAGCCGACCUGAGAGGGUGAUCGGCCACACUGGAACUGAGACACGGUCCAGACUCCUACGGGAGGCAGCAGUAGGGAAUCUGCCGCAAUGGGCGAAAGCCUGACGGAGCAACGCCGCGUGAGUGAUGAAGGUCUUCGGAUCGUAAAACUCUGUUAUUAGGGAAGAACAUAUGUGUAAGUAACUGUGCACAUCUUGACGGUACCUAAUCAGAAAGCCACGGCUAACUACGUG